rnacentral:SRP_RNA from 2 species
GCUGGGCGUGGUGGCGGGCGCCUGUAAUCUCAGCUACUCAGGAGGCUGAGGCAGGAGAAUUGCUUGAACCCGGGAAGUGGAGGUUGCAGUGAGCUGAGAUCGUGCCACUGCACUCCAGCCUGGGCGACAGAGCAAGACUCUGUCUCAA